UGGCGGACGGGUGAGUAACGCGUGAGUAACCUGCCCUGGAGUGGGGGACAACAGUUGGAAACGACUGCUAAUACCGCAUAAGCCCACGGCCCGGCAUCGGGCUGCGGGAAAAGGAUUUAUUCGCUUCAGGAUGGACUCGCGUCCAAUUAGCUAGUUGGUGAGGUAACGGCCCACCAAGGCGACGAUCCAUAGCCGACCUGAGAGGGUGACCGGCCACAUUGGGACUGAGACACGGCCCAA
rnacentral:rRNA from 1 species